UGGGGAAUAUUGGGCAAUGGGGGAAACCCUGACCCAGCAACGCCGCGUGAAGGAAGAAGGCUUUCGGGUUGUAAACUUCUUUUACCAGGGACGAAAAAAAUGACGGUACCUGGAGAAUAAGCCACGGCUAACUACGUGCCAGCAGCCGCGGUAAUACGUAGGUGGCAAGCGUUGUCCGGAUUUACUGGGUGUAAAGGGCGCGUAGGCGGGAUGGCAAGUCAGAUGUGAAAUAUGAGGGCUUAACCCUCAAACUGCAUUUGAAACUGCUGUUCUUGAGUGAUGGAGAGGCAAGCGGAAUUCCUAGUGUAGCGGUGAAAUGCGUAGAUAUUAGGAGGAACACCAGUGGCGAAGGCGGCUUGCUGGACAUUAACUGACGCUGAGGCGCGAAAGCGUGGGGAGCAAACA
rnacentral:rRNA from 1 species